AGGAAGGCCAACGCGGUUAAGUAGCACCUAGACUACUGAUAGUAAGUACAUUUUCGAUGUAGUAAAUGGCGGUUAAAGUAUAUUUUUUCCGUCGGAAAAAAUCGUAACGUACAAAAAGAUCUGUCUCAAUGUAUCAAAAGGAUCUUAGUAUAAAACUGGAUCAAAAGGAUCAUAGUAUAGAAAUUGAUGCUAGAAGCUCGCCGUUAAAAAGAACGAAAGCCCAUGUAGCCAAGCUGUAGCAGGCUACGGAUGGUUGUUACAUUUUAGAUGUAGUAAAUUGCGGUUAUAUGUUUCCUUUUCCGUUGGAAAACGGUAACGUUCAGAAAGAGAUAAAAGGAGCAAUUGAUUAAAAGGAUCAUAGUAUAGAAAUAUAUCAAAAAGAAAUAAAAUCAUAGAAUAAAAAACCGGAAGUUUGUCGGUAAGUAGACUGAAAACCAUCGUGACAUUUAUCAUGUUGUUAAUACGCCCGUUAAUACGUUUAUAGUCGUAUUUAAUAAGAAUGGGAGGCCUCGAUAUAUUUAAAAUUAUUAUUUAUUUAUUUGUUCUACUUUCGAUAUUAGACGAGCGUAUCAUGAUAUUGAUACAUUCACGAACGGUGUGGAUUGAGCUAUCAAGAGAAUAGCAGGCAGUUGUUAGGUUGUUAUAAACUUAUAUUUGACACGAUAACGGCCGAUCAUAUAUUUACUAAAACUCGUUAAAACUAAAAUGAGGUGUACUAGCAUUCUUACGUCAAAUUUACUUAAAAUAGUUAUUUUCUUUUGUGAUGAUGGCAUACAUCACAGUGUAGAAUAUGAAAAAAACAUUAUAUGCUAGUGACUAGACGAGUUUGGAUGUUAACUGGCUGAAGAAACAGUAUUUUGAUUCCUUCUCAGAGAGUAGAAUGGCUCGGGCAUGUGAUCGAUAUGCAUAAAAUGCAGUUUUUCAUAAUUAAAAAUUGAGUAGCUAGGCUAGAAAAAAGUAUUGAUUCGAUGAUCUAUCUAAUUUAUCAAACGAAAGAAAAAUUAGUACCAAAAGAUAAAUUAAUAGCUAGUCUUGUAGGGCAGAUAAUUUCCUUUCAGAGUGUGAUUGUAAAUAAAGUUUGGUGAUAACAAUGCAUAUAUAAAAUUGCAUAAAUACCAGAGCUAGUUGGAAAGCUCCCGUUAUUGUAACGUUGCAAGUUAUUUACAAACUUAGAUUAUGGAAAGAAAGCACUAGGCAGUUAAUCAACGGUGGAAAAGAUUUCAAACACAAUCAGUUGUUUUUGUGUAAUAUAGUUGCUGAUGCAAGUACCACAAGUUAUGGUUUAUGGAGGUUUUAUAGAAAGUUGUAGCUAUAAUGUAGAUAUAGGCGAAAUGACUGUCAAGCUAACGAUUUUCAUAAAAAUAAAAAAAAAGCAAAUUUAUUUUCAAUUUUGUUUUAUUCCAUUGACGGAGAGAGUAAAGGUAUGUACUCGUGAUCUUUGAGACCCGAAAAUGAGAAAAUUGGAAUGUACAUGAUCUUAAAAAAAAGAGCAACCUGUUCCCGGAAGUGAACAGAUUAUUGACGAAAAGAGAAAAGUUAUUCCUGGAAGUUAUUACUAGAUUACACUGUUAAAAUCAAGGAGGUACACUGCCAGUGUUUCUAUAAACGAAACAGGUAAUGCAUAUUGUGAUUUAAUAUGAAGUCAAUACAUUAAGCCACCGGAAGUUGGUUUUCAAGAUAAACCGGAUAAGUAUUCCGUCGUUCAUCAUAACGUAAGUAAAAAUUUCUUAUGAUCAAGAAAAUGCCUUGCAUACGGCUAGAAAAGGUAUGUUAUUGCUCCCGGAAGUGAGCAGAAAGAGUUUGCUAUGGUCCCCGGAAGUGGACAUAGAGCCCAGUAGAUUGCUCCCGGAAGUGAGCAGAAAUUGUAGGCUAUGGUCCCCGGAAGUGGACAUAGAGCCCAGUAGAUUGCUCCCGGAAGUGAGCAGAGAUGCUCCAUGAAGAGAGCAGAGAGUAUGCUAUGGUCCCCGGGUGUUAUGUUAUAUGAAAUGUUUUAAAUGCUUUGCAAAAUUCGUACAUCAAAGUGUAUUCAGACAAUAAAAUGUAAAAUCUAUAUUAUUGAAUGGUAGUCAAAAUAAAUAGCUUUAGAUUUAAAUAUGUUGUGUGGAUACUGGAUUCAAUGAAAAGAAGCAGUGGGUGCCUUAGUUCAAUAUGGGGAAACAAUGUAAAAUGGUUAGUUCAGAAACUAGGUUGGUAUCAAUCUGUAUCAAUAAGAUGAUAUCGCAUCCUUGUUGUUCCAAAAAGGGGCAGUUCGCCUUAUUGGCUAAUGUUGAUUUGUCAUACGGACAUUUUAGAGAUAUUGUGAAAUAUUGCAAAAAGUUUGGUAGAGACUGUAUGAUUCCAGGUUGUUUUGUUAACACUAGAUUAUCAUUAAAUAAGAUAGCGUUAAGGUGCAUAUCACAAUACAGUUAUUGAUGUAUAGUACAUAUGUUUGACAGGAAAUGUUUUGAGAGGUACUCUGAAGGAGCGAUUAGAGGGCUCGGGCUUGCAUGGGCUUCGAAGAGAUUAGAUGGCGGACAGAAUGGCUAAGUAAAUACUUGAACAAUCAAGAGCAGACAAUACGGUGAAGAAAAGAAUUCUUCAUGUGCACAUUUCAAAUACUGUGAAGAAAAUGUAGUCGCCAUGCCAGCCUUACAUAUAUCAGUAGAAAUGUACAUGGCUCAAUUGAUGGAUCGAGGAAAUCUAAUAACGUUUUUUACAUCUGUGUUUUACAGUAUUAAAUGGAUCCUUUCUAUUAAUAGUGUACAUGAUCCAAAGAAAGAUUUAACAAACUAUUAUAAGAAGCUUCAAAGCGUGUGUGCUUCAAACCAUUUCACAAGAAAGAUGUAUCAUGUACAUGUGCAUUCAUUAGAGAUGAUACAAACAUUGUGUUUGAUAUAAGGAGAUUCCACUGUUUUCAUUGAUUGAUCAUUUUUGGGUUAUGCAUGUACAUGUAUCAUGCAUAUUAACAAAUUAAGUGAGUUUCAUUGUAAUGACCUACAAUUGAAAUCUGAUCACUUUGGUAUUAGUGUACGCCAUUAUAAUACUGGCAUGUAUACGAAUGGUUCGGAUAUUAUAAUUGCAAAAUGUACAACUACAACUUCCCAUGUGGCGUUUUAUUAGCUAUUGUCAUCACCUUGGCGUCGGCGUCGGCGUCUGCGUCGGCGUCGGCGUCCGGUUAAGAUUUGCGUUUAGGUCCACUUUUCUCAGAAAGUAUCAAUGCUAUUGCAUUCAAACUUGGUACACUUACUUACUAUCAUGAGGGGACUGGGCAGGCAAAGUUAGAUAACUCUGGCGUGCAUUUUGACUGAAUUAUGUGCCCUUUUUAUACGCCCGUAUAAAAUACGGGACGUAUUAUGUGAAACCCCUUGGCGGGCGGGCGGCGGGCGGGCGGCGGGCGGCGGGCGGAAGGCAUCACUUUGUCCGGACUCUAAUUCAAAUUGUAUUCAUCCGAUCUUCACCAAACUUGGUCAGCAGUUGCAUCUAGUUGAUAUCUAGGCCAAGUUCGAAUAUGGGUCAUGCCGGGUCAAAAACUAGGUCAUAGGGUCAAUAAGUGCAUUUUCAAAGGGGCCACUUUGUCCGGACUCUAUUUCAAAUUGUAUUCAUCCGAUCUUCACCAAACUUGGUCAGCAGUUGCAUCUAGUUGAUAUAUAGGCCAAGUUCGAAUAUGGGUCAUGCCGGGUCAAAAACUAGGUCAUAGGGUCAAUUAGUGCAUUUUCAACGGCGCCACUUUGUCCGGACUCUAAUUCAAAUUGUAUUCAUCCGAUCUUCACCAAACUUGGUCAGUAGUUGCAUCUAGUUGAUAUCUAGGUCAAGUUCGAAUAUGGGUCAUGUCGGGUCAAGAACUAGGUCAUAGGGUCAAUUAGUGCAUUUUCAACGGCGCCACUUUGUCCGGACUCUAAUUCAAAUUGUAUUCAUCCGAAACUUUUAAACAACUUUUUAUCCUGCGUCAAAGUGGUAUGGGGGUCUAAACAAUUAUGAUUUAAACAUUGUGUUUUAGAGAACAAAUGAGACUAAGUGUACACUUAUUGAUAUCAAUGCAUAUAUAUGAAUAUAUCAGUUAUAUAAGUU